rnacentral:rRNA from 1 species
GAUGAACGCUGGCGGCAGGCUUAACACAUGCAAGUCGAGCGGGGUGAGGUGCUUCGGUACUGAUCCUAGCGGCGGACGGGUGAGUAAUGCUUAGGAGUCUGCCUAUUAGUGGGGGACAACAUUCCGAAAGGAAUGCUAAUACCGCAUACGUCCUACGGGAGAAAGCAGGGGAUCUUCGGACCUUGCGCUAAUAGAUGAGCCUAAGUCGGAUUAGCUAGUUGGUGGGGUAAAGGCCUACCAAGGCGACGAUCUGUAGCGGGUCUGAGAGGAUGAUCCGCCACACUGGGACUGAGAAACGGCCCAGACUCCUACGGGAGGCAGCAGUGGGGAAUAUUGGACAAUGGGCGGAAGCCUGAUCCAGCCAUGCCGCGUGUGUGAAGAAGGCCUUUUGGUUGUAAAGCACUUUAAGCGAGGAGGAGGCUACCUAGAUUAAUACUCUGGGAUAGUGGACGCUACUCGCAGAAUAAGCACCGGCUAACUCUGUGCCAGCCGCCGCCGUAAUAC